rnacentral:rRNA from 1 species
UACGGAGGAUGCGAGCGUUAUCCGGAUUUAUUGGGUUUAAAGGGUGCGUAGGCGGCCAUUUAAGUCAGCGGUGAAAUUUUGCAGCUUAACUGUAACAGUGCCAUUGAUACUGUUUGGCUAGGAUUUGGUUGUAGUGUGCGGAAUGUGUGGUGUAGCGGUGAAAUGCUUAGAUAUCACACAGAACACCGAUUGCGAAGGCAGCACACUAAGUCAUUAUUGACGCUGAGGCACGAAAGUGUGGGGAUCAAACAGGA